AUUGAACGCUGGCGGCAGGCCUAACACAUGCAAGUCGAGCGGUAGAGAGAAGCUUGCUUCUCUUGAGAGCGGCGGACGGGUGAGUAAUGCCUAGGAAUCUGCCUGGUAGUGGGGGAUAACGUUCGGAAACGGACGCUAAUACCGCAUACGUCCUACGGGAGAAAGCAGGGGACCUUCGGGCCUUGCGCUAUCAGAUGAGCCUAGGUCGGAUUAGCUAGUUGGUGGGGUAAUGGCUUACCAAGGCGACGAUCCGUAACUGGUCUGAGAGGAUGAUCAGUCACACUGGAACUGAGACACGGUCCAGACUCCUACGGGAGGCAGCAGUGGGGAAUAUUGGACAAUGGGCGAAAGCCUGAUCCAGCCAUGCCGCGUGUGUGAAGAAGGUCUUCGGAUUGUAAAGCACUUUAAGUUGGGAGGAAGGGCAGUAAAUUAAUACUUUGCUGUUUUGACGUUACCGACAGAAUAAGCACCGGCUAACUCUGUG
rnacentral:rRNA from 1 species